GAGUGAAGAGGGAAGAGCUCAUCAUUGGAAUCUGGCAGUGUUUUCACUGUCCGAGUUGUAGAUGAGGAGUAGUCCAUCUGGACUGCAUGGCGUCCAAGUACAAUAGGCCGUCAGUGGGACAUCAUAGAGGGUGACAAUCCCGUCCUUGAUGCCAAUGUGCAAGUCCGUUACGAUGGCUAUCUCAGAGAGUCGAGCAGUUUGGGAUUUGCUGCUUAAACAUGGGAGGUAGAUUCCUUCUAAAGCUAAAUACAGGCGAGAGACCGAUAGAGAACAAGUACCGCAAGGGAAAGAUGAAAUAGCACUCUGUGAAGGGAGUCAAAAGACGUGAAAUUGUUGCGAGAGAAGCGAUUCAAGUCAGCGUAGCUAGGCCCAUCAAGCCUCUUGCUUUGGACUAGCUUUGCCAGCGGUCUUGUCCUAAGAGACUUGACUUGUUAAUAUGUCCAGCCUGGUAUGCACAGGUAGCCCCAUCGGGGCCAGUGACAUGGCUGGUGGAAUGGCUUGCAAUCGACCCGUCUUGAAACACGGACCAAGGAGUCUAACAUGUAUGCGAGUAUAAGGGUGGCAAACCCGUAUGCGCAAUGAAAGUGAUUUUCGGUGAUUGAGAAUGGCCUGAUGACCAGACAAGCAAUAUUAUGUCCCUCGUACGGCCAUUGCCCAAGUUCCGUGGUAGAUCCCACGAACAUGGAGUUGGAGCAUACAUGCUAGGACCCGAAAGAUGGUGAACUAUGCCUGGACAAAGCGAAGCCAAAGGAAACUCUGGNGGAGGCUUGUAGCGAUUCUGACGUGCAAAUCGAUCGUCUGAUCUGGGUAUAGGGGCGAAAGACUAAUC
rnacentral:rRNA from 1 species